AACGCCGCUGAAGAACAUGAUCUUUAGCGGCGUGUUUUACUAAGCGCCGCUAAAGAAUAUGUUCUUUAGCGGCGUUU
rfam:Gossypium raimondii Chr08_contig_142, whole genome shotgun sequence.